rnacentral:lncRNA from 1 species
UCUCCAGUUAUCAUAGAAACCCUAAACAACCCCCAAUUUGCCAACUCCCAAAACCUCUUUAAACUGUUGGCAGAUAUCCUCUAUCCGUAUAGUGAGAUUAACACAACCACGCAUGCAUUUAGCAUACUCAACCUUCUAGACAACUUUGAAUUUCAACCACAGAAGUAUCUUCCAUUUCAUCAACAAUCAAGAGUACUAGCCUUUUCUCUCUUUCAGAAAAAAAAUCCAGUUCACCAAUAUAACACUAACUUUCAGCAACGAUUGCCUCAGUCUUCUCAAAACCCUAUGAAGAAAAAAAAAACCCCAAUUCUUUGUUUUUUCCUGAAAGCAUGAAGCUAGCUCUCCGACCCUUAAAACCCUAAUUUUCUCCUCUUUUGAUUUCUUAAC